CCGUUGCCGCUGUGCGCCAUUCAAAUCCGGUCGUCGCCGUCAAUACUUUUUGUCGCCAUUGGUCAUUGCCGUGGUUGUGAGUAUUGGGGUUUUGUCGUUUUGUCGACGCUUAAGUUGCUUUGCGGUCGUAGCGUUUUGUCGUCGUCGCCGUAAAUGUGCCAGUAAACGUGCUGCCGCCGUCAAUACUUUUGUCGCCAUUGGUCAUUGCCGUGGUUGUGAGUAUCGGGGUUUGCCGUUUUGUCGACGCUUAAGUGGCCUUGCGGUCGUAGCGUUUUAGCCGCCGCCGCUAUCGUGUCGCCGCCGUCGUUACCGUGUCACCACCGCCAGUGUGAGCAGCCAGUCAAAGGUGUCCAGGUCAGCGUACUAAUUUUUGUCGAUUAUUUUAUUGUAAAUAAUUAUUAUCAUCAUUAUUAUUAUACCUUGUUGAUAUUAAAAUACUAACCCUAGUUUUUAAGUAUAUUGAUGUUUUAUAUUGAACUUUUGGCAAUAGUAUUUGAGUUUUAUACAGUCCA